rnacentral:rRNA from 1 species
AUUGAACGCUGGCGGCAUGCUUUACACAUGCAAGUCGAACGGUAACAGGUUAAGCUGACGAGUGGCGAACGGGUGAGUAAUGCAUCGGAACGUGCCCGAUCGUGGGGGAUAACGCAGCGGAAGCUGCGCUAAUACCGCAUACGAUCUGAGGAUGAAAGCGGGGGACCGUAAGGCCUCGCGCGAUCGGAGCGGCCGAUGUCAGAUUAGGUAGUUGGUCGGGUAAAGGCUCACCAAGCCAACGAUCUGUAGCUGGUCUGAGAGGACGACCAGCCACACUGGGACUGAGACACGGCCCAGACUCAUACGGGAGGCAGCAGGGGGGAAUUUUGGACAAUGGGCGAAAGCAUGAUCCAGCAAUGCCGCGUGCAGGAAGAAGGCCUUCGGGUUGUAACCUGCUUUUGUACGGAGCGAAAAGGUCUCCUCUAAUACAGGGGGCUCAUGACGGUACCGUAAGAAUAAGCACCGGCUAACUACGUGCCAGCCGCCGCGGUAA